rnacentral:rRNA from 1 species
UAGCCGUAAACGAUACUCGCUAGGUGUCGGCCACGGUGCGACCGUUGUCGGUGCCGUAGGGAAGCCGUGAAGCGAGCCACCUGGGAAGUACGGCCGCAAGGCUGAAACUUAAAGGAUUGGCGGGGGAGCACCACAACGGGUGGAGCUUGCGGUUUAAUUGGAUUCAACGCCGGAAAUCUUACCGGGACCGACAGCAACAUGAAGGCCAGGCUGAAGACUUUGCCGGAUUAGCUGAGAGGUGGUGCAUGGCGUAGUCGUGU